rnacentral:rRNA from 1 species
UGGGGAAUAUUGCACAAUGGGCGCAAGCCUGAUGCAGCCAUGCCGCGUGUGUGAAGAAGGCCUUCGGGUUGUAAAGCACUUUCAGCGAGGAGGAAGGUGGUGAGCUUAAUACGCUCAUCAAUUGACGUUACUCGCAGAAGAAGCACCGGCUAACUCCGUGCCAGCAGCCGCGGUAAUACGGAGGGUGCAAGCGUUAAUCGGAAUUACUGGGCGUAAAGCGCACGCAGGCGGUUUGUUAAGUCAGAUGUGAAAUCCCCGGGCUCAACCUGGGAACUGCAUUUGAAACUGGCAAGCUAGAUCUCGUAGAGGGGGUAGAAUUCCAGGUGUAGCAGGUGAAAUGCGUAGAGAUCUGGAGGAAUACCGGUGGCGAAGGCGGCCCCCUGGACGAAGACUGACGCUCAGGUGCG